AAAAGUUAUUAAAAAAUAUUACUUUUAACUUUGAAAUUUGUAUUGACCGCUAAAGCUCAUCACUGGAAGCUGAAAAGGCGCUAAUUUUUCCCGGAUUAACCAUUUUAGCUUUUUUUUGUUUGUGAUCUUUGGUUUGUUUUUUGUUAUUUAUUGUUGCAAAUGAUUUGAACCUAAUGAGAUGCAUCUUCGAUGUAAUUAAUUAUAUUUCUCACACAAAAGGCAACAAUUAACUAAAAUGGUCAACUCUUUUUCUGUCUCUAUCCUUUUGUUUGUGUGAAAAAAAGUCCAAAUGGAUAUAGUGAUCUCAAUGGUUUAGUGAAAGUGAAGCCAAAAAUAUUUUUUUGGAAGAAAAGGCAAAAGUCAAGGAAAAGGAAUGGCAAAGGAUGGUGAAAAAUAUAAGCAAGGCUUAAGGAUAAAGCUUAAACUAGGAGGUUCCCCUGCUUUUUUCUGGACGGGUCACCCUUUUGUCUUGAGUUAUAUAUUUAUUGUGACAAGUCAAUCCUCGAGAAAACAUCAAUAAUCUUACUACAAUUUAAACCUCCAAAGUGGUAGCAGUCGCAUCAUCAACUACAACAGGAAUACUGGUAAAUCAAAGAUAAUGUUGAAGCAAAAUUAAGUCUCAUUCAUGGACUGCGUAUAUAUUUAACUUGGCCAAAUGGGACUGAGGAAGAGUUUCACUUAACCAAAAAACAACCGCAAAAAAAUAUGUUUACUUGAGACUUAAGAAGUAGCAAAGUGCAUCAUCAACAUGCCUAUCAUGGUCGUCAACAUCUUCAUCUUCUGUCUCUCUUUUUGCCUUCAAUCAAAUAUUAUAUAAGAUUCUUUUCAACAAAAUUCUUUAAAAUGUGGUUAAAGAGCAUUUUGCCGACUUGUGAUUAACUUGAAUAUCAUCUUAUGUUUGACUUUUUGUUUUACAUUUCCCCUGUUCCUACUAAGUACUGACGAUGAUGUAUUUCCUGAGAUUCUGUCAGCAUAAAAAUUUUUUCUUCAACUA